rnacentral:rRNA from 1 species
GAUGAACGCUGGCGGCGUGCCUAAUACAUGCAAGUCGAGCGAACAGACGAGGAGCUUGCUCCUCUGACGUUAGCGGCGGACGGGUGAGUAACACGUGGAUAACCUACCUAUAAGACUGGGAUAACUUCGGGAAACCGGAGCUAAUACCGGAUAAUAUAUUGAACCGCAUGGUUCAAUAGUGAAAGACGGUUUUGCUGUCACUUAUAGAUGGAUCCGCGCCGCAUUAGCUAGUUGGUAAGGUAACGGCUUACCAAGGCAACGAUGCGUAGCCGACCUGAGAGGGUGAUCGGCCACCCUGGAACUGAGACACGGUCCAGACUCCUACGGGAGGCAGCAGUAGGGAAUCUUCCGCAAUGGGCGAAAGCCUGACGGAGCAACGCAGAGUGAGUGAGGAAGGUCCUCGGAUAGUAAAACUCUGUUAUUAGGAAAGAACAAAUGUGUAAGUAACUAUGCACGUCUUGACGGUACCUAAUCAGAAAGCCACGGCUAACUACGU